UGAUGCCCUUAGAUGUUCUGGGCUGCACGCGCGCUACACUGACAGACUCAACGAGUUUUUACCAACCUUGGUCGAUGGAUCUGGGUAAUCUUUUCAAAGUCUGUCGUGCUGGGGAUAGAUCAUUGAAAUUAUUGGUCUUCAACGAGGAAUGCCUAGUAAGCGCGAGUCAUCAGCUCGCGUUGACUACGUCCCUGCCCUUU
rnacentral:rRNA from 1 species